GCCUUGCUAGCUCAAUCGGUAGAGCGUGAGACUCUUAUAAUCAGUUUUCGUAGGCUGGAUUGUCUAAUAAUCUCAAGGUUGGGGGUUCGACCCCCCCGUAGGGCU
rnacentral:tRNA from 1 species